rnacentral:rRNA from 1 species
CAGUAGCCGCGGGAAUACGUAGGUGGCAAGCGUUGUCCGGAAUUAUUGGGCGUAAAGGGCUCGCAGGCGGUUUCUUUAGUCUGAUGUGAAAGCCCCCGGCUCAACCGGGGAGGGUCAUUGGAAACUGGGAAACUUGAGUGCAGAAGAGGAGAGUGGAAUUCCACGUGUAGCGGUGAAAUGCGUAGAGAUGUGGAGGAACACCAGUGGCGAAGGCGACUCUCUGGUCUGUAACUGACGCUGAGGAGCGAAAGCGUGGGGAGCGAACAGGAUUAGAUACCCCUGUAGUCCCUGUCUCUUAUAC